GGCACCAUGGCAGAGCGGUUAAUGCGGUAGAUUUAAGAAAAGAGAGUUAAUCUCGGGUUCUUUCAUCUCUACUCUCGAAAGAGGCGUGGGUUCGAACCCCACUGGUGUCA